AUAUGGUCAAUAGCCUAACGGCUGACCCAGCAACUUGGAGGAUGGAUAGUGAAAGCCGUUAAAAAGGUAAUGUAUCUAAUAAUAUUAGAAUAUAAUAUGAAGCAGUCAAAGAUUGUUAAAGUUCUAUGCGGAGAUAUGAUUAUGACAAUUUCUGUAGAUGUCUUGACCAAGUCACGUGCCAGCAGUCGCGGUAAUACGUGGAAGAUUAGUGUUAUUCAUCUUUAUCAGGUUUAAAGGGUACCUAGACGGUUAAAUAAGCAAUAAGAUGUACUACUUAACUAGAGUUUGAUGGGAAGAGGUUUGAGUACGGUGAGUGGAGAGAUAAAAUUCUGUGAUACCAUUUAGGAACUGGUAAAGGCGAAGGCUACCUCUAAUGUAAAAAACUGACGUUAAGGGACGAAGGCUCGUAUUAAAUAACAGGAUUAGAUACCCUAGUACUGUGGGCAGACAAUGAUGAAUGUCAUAUGCAAGGAUUAUUUUGUGUAUAAAUGAAAGUGUAAGCAUUCCACCUCAAGAGUAACGUGGCAACAUGGGAACUGAAAUCAUUAGACCGUUUCUGAAACUCGUAGUGAAGUAUGUUGUUUAAUUUGAUAGCCCUCAAAUAACCUUACCCAUCCUUGAACUAAAGACUAUAUAGCGUGAUGAUUCUUGAGGGAGUAGUAACAAAAAAGUUGUAUAGUUGCAAGCGUUGCACGGCUGUCUCCAGUCAAUGUUGUGAAAUUGUGGUUAGAUCCAUUAAAUUGACGUAAACCCUUACUUUAUUUAACAUAGAGUUGUUCGCCGCUAUAUUGGUAGUGAUAAAUGGGACCAGGACAAGUCAUCAUGGCCUAGACGGAUGGGGCUAUAGACGUGCCACAUUACCCAUAACAAAAAGAUGCAAAAUUGCGAAAUUUAGCUAAUCUUUAAAAUGGUAAAAUAUGGAUUGUAGUCG
rnacentral:rRNA from 1 species